rnacentral:tRNA from 1 species
GCGGGGGUGGCGGAGUGGUCUAACGCGCACGCCUGGAAAGCGUGUUCCUUCACAGGAGCGCGAGUUCGAAUCUCGUCCUCCGCG